CAUUUUCUGAGCGAUUAGGUAGGUUUUAUAGCAAGAAAGCAUAGCUGAAGUUUUUUGGGUUAUCUUUUAGAUUACACUGAGUGUCACACAUACUGGCUCUCUGUUAAACAAACCAGCUUUGCUGUCUUAUCAAGUGACAGCCAAGGCCAUUGUCUUUUUUGCUUUUUCUGAUGAGAAGUCGGGCUCUUUCUGAGUGAGUUCUAAAGAAACACAUCCUCUGGUGGAUCUGAAUUCUAAUUCAUCUUGUAAGCAGGACUCCUCACGUCCUUAUCUUACACGUAUGCAACUUAUCUUAGACUCGGGUCUGAGGCACGGCCUUUUCAGGGCAACUUGUGAGAGUCCGAUCUCUUCUUCCCACUCUGCCGUGGCGACAAGGGUGGGACUCAGGCCAUCCGACUUGGCAGCAAGCCUCUCUUUGAGCCAUCUUUCCUACAUCUGUUUAUAUGACCUCACCUUUCUUACUGUGACCAGCGACACUGAUCUUAUUUCUCCUCAUCUUGAGUCACUUCAAGAAGAGUCAUGAUCAAGAAGGAUGGACACAAGAACCAACUUAGAGCAUGGCUAAGUUACUAACUGUGCCAUGUUGGACAGAUCUGUGAAACUUGGUUCCAUUUGUGAAUGGAACAAGAGUGUUGAAUGAAUAGUAGAUUACAAGCUACAUGCAAGAAGCCACCUCAUAUGCCAGAUGGAGCCGGGAUAGUGCCAGGCACGUAAGAGAUGUUCAUUAAGUAUUUGCUAACAAAUGCAAAAAUGGCCACAGCACACAGGUAUAUCUGAUAGAAAUAGGACUUGACCUUUCCAAUUUGUUUUUGAGAUUAUAAUAUAAUUAUAUCAUUUCCCCCUUUCCUUUCCUCACUCCAAACUACCAUAUACCCUCCUUGCUCACUUUUAAAUUCAUGACUCUUUUUUCAAUAAUUGUUGUUGUUGUUUGUAGCAGUGUGUGUGUGUGUAUUCCUAAAUACAUAAUACAACCUGCCCAGCCUAUAUAGUAUUGUUUGCAUGUAUUUUAGGGCUGACCAUUUGGUGAUGGAUAACAAAUUGGUGCGUUCUUCCCUGGGAACGCUAUUUCUCCGACUCUCAGAGUUGCUUGGUUACCUGUUUUUCCCUGUGUAGAGUUGAGGCCUAUGGGCUUUCCCCACACAAACAUUACAUUUCUAUUGUUAUUGGCCUUGUUCUUCUCACAUUUGGGUAGUCAUGUUGGUGAGACUCCCUGGAUGUAGCUUUUGACAUUCCUAGGAGACACAGUUUCUCCGUAGACUCUCCGUUCCUCUGGGUCUUAUAAUCUUUCCAUCCGUUCGUCCUCAGAGAUCCCUGAGCCUUAGUUAGGUACAGGGCUUAUGUUGUAGAUACGUCAUGUGGGACUGGGAAGGUGUAAGUCUUCUUCUAUCUUACUGGAGUCACACCCAUCAGGGGGGUCCACUGUAUCUAUGCAUUCAUCCCCGAUCCUUCCCACUCAGUGUCAAGCAGCAUUAGUGCAGCACCUGAUUGCAACACCAUGUCUUAGCAUGGCCUUGAUGCUCCCACUCGCCCAGCUCUGCAACCUUCCAAUUUGCAUCUGUCUCUAUGACUAGGUCCUGAUUUUUUUA